GAAGAAACGCUAGCGGCAGGCUUAACACAUGCAAGUUCGAGGGGCAGCAUAAUGGUAGUAAUACUAUUGAUGGCGACCGGCGGACGGGUGCGUAACGCGUAUGCAACCUACCCUUUACAGGGGGAUAACACUGAGAAAUCGGUACUAAUACCCCAUAAUAUUCUGGGAGGCAUCUUUCGGAGUUUGAAAGCUUUGGUGGUAAAGGAUGGGCAUGCGUUGUAUUAGCUAGUUGGUAAGGUAACGGCUUACCAAGGCGACGAUACAUAGGGGGACUGAGAGGUUAACCCCCCACAUUGGUACUGAGACACGGACCAAACUCCUACGGGAGGCAGCAGUGAGGAAUAUUGGUCAAUGGACGGAAGUCUGAACCAGCCAUGCCGCGUGCAGGAAGACGGCUCUAUGAGUUGUAAACUGCUUUUGUACGAGGGUAAACGCAGAUACGUGUAUCUGCCUGAAAGUAUCGUACGAAUAAGGAUCGGCUAACUCCGUGCCAGCAGCCGCGGUAAUACGGAGGAUCCAAGCGUUAUCCGGAUUUAUUGGGUUUAAAGGGUGCGUAGGCGGUUUAGUAAGUCAGCGGUGAAAUUUUGGUGCUUAACACCAAACGUGCCGUUGAUACUGCUGGGCUAGAGAGUAGUUGCGGUAGGCGGAAUGUAUGGUGUAGCGGUGAAAUGCUUAGAGAUCAUACAGAACACCGAUUGCGAAGGCAGCUUACCAACUAUAUCUGACGUUGAGGCACGAAAGCGUGGGAGCCAACAGGAUUAGAUACCCUGGUAGUCCACGCAGUAAAGAUGAUAGCUCGUUGUCGGCGAUACACAGUCGGUGACUAAGAGAAAUCGAUAAGCUAUCCACCUGGGGAGUACGUUCGCAAGAAUGAAACUCAAAGGAAUUGACGGGGGCCCGCACAAGCGGAGGAACAUGUGGUUUAAUUCGAUGAUACGCGAGGAACCUUACCCGGGCUUGAAAGUUACUGACGAUUCUGGAAACAGGAUUUCCCUUCGGGGCAGGAAACUAGGUGCUGCAUGGUUGUCGUCAGCUCGUGCCGUGAGGUGUCGGGUUAAGUCCCAUAACGAGCGCAACCCCUACUGAUAGUUGCCAUCAGA
rnacentral:rRNA from 1 species